CACACACACACACACACACACACACACACACCAGACACGACAAUCACUCACCGUUCAGCAAAAUUCGCCGUAUUGAAACCAAAAUAGGUGACCU